UGCUUGCUGGUGCUGUAGGGACCGGCGGGUUGCUCUUUGGGGUGGUUCAUCAGUUGUUGGCAUGGUCCGAGUCCCCAUGAGUUGGGGGUGGCAAUGAGGAGGUGGUGGCAUCAGCAGCCACUUUGAUGUGGCCUUGUGACUCUUCGUCUCGCUACCAAGUAGUGGUGUAGCACAGGGGAUGGCACCCCCAGGCCCAGUACGGGUUUCCAGGGAUGGAUGUCUGUUCCUGUGCUUUCGCAAACUUAAUGUGCGUCCUCUGGCAACUAAGCGCUGAGUUUAGUAGGAGUUAAAAUGAUUAAUGCGCCUCUAACCAAAGAAUGUAUCUGGGGAGGGAAUAAAGAAAAUGUUAUUUGUAUUUGGGAUCAAAAUGCUCUGAAAAAAAAUAUAAAUCACAGUAAAUCUACUGUAGCAAUUGGAGUGCUGCCAUAAAGAGAGCUAGGUCUACACUAGCCGUGAUGAUGCAUGUGAGGCCAGAAAUCAGGUUCACCCCCAUGAGUUAGAUACUAGAGCAGCCUUGUGGCGGGGUAGGGGAAGGCGACUGGUUUUAAGAUGCAGUGUGCUCGCUUUAGGAAAUGCCAACCACUUCCCCAAGAAACUGGACUUUCUUGUUGAAACAGUCCUGUGGUAUCACUCCAGGAUGGCUGCGAUGGUCCCAGCAGUACCAGAGAGUAAAAAAAGGAAACAAGUCCUGAAACACGGAAAAAGACCAAAGGGAAACCCAUCCCAGCUGUCAGCAGUGCCCAGCAGUGUGUUCUCUGGGUACCCUGUGUGCACGUUUCCAUCCCAGCCAAAUGCCGAGCAUGAGAGCAAUGAAAGGGAGGGAGGCUGGAAGGACUUGGAAUGAAAAGGACUGAGCGUGUACAGCUCCGCAGAGGAAGGGCGAUAUUGCCAUCUGCAGGGAGCAGUCCCCGGGGAGAAGGCAGCGCUCAGCCUGGUUCAGCGUCUUGCAGCUGGGAGUAACAACAGGAAUUUCGGAAGGCAAACGUAGGUGAGGCAGACAAACCCUCCCUCCUGAUGUCAUUUGUUAAACCAGACUGAUUUCCCAGGGGGCAGAGGCAGCCCAGUCUCUCAAUUCCUCCUGCAGCAGGCAGGGAAGGGCUGUGCUCUGGGGAGGGCAGGAGGUGCUGGGGAGCGAUGGAGGGGCCUGGCCGGCCCCGUGGCCUCCUUCCUGCCUCUGCUGUUGCUGGCAGACACGGGGCCAGGACGCUGUCACAGCUGAAGGCUUCGAUCUAGAGCAGGAGCUGAGACUUGUGCCUGCAAGCAGCCUGGGGUGAAGAACAAGCAGGAAUUGUGUCUAUUCCCCAAACCAUUUCAUCAUCCUAAAGAAAAUGCAAUCUAAACAGAGGCUUUCUGGCCAUCACGUUUGUAAGCAAAGAUCAAAAUGUAUCUGCAGAAAGUUAAUUUUUACCAACGAGAGCAUCCUCAGCUCUGUGCUGGAGAUCAGCAUCGCUGAUCUGAAUGCUGAGCUUGAGAGGGGAGCUGGUUCCCGGACAUUUCUUUAUGGGAGGUGACACCAACGCCUGCAGCAAGCAAGUCAGUGUUUUGGAGGAAGAACUGCGGAAAGAGACCAGAUAAUGCAUACAGGUAAUAAUUUACUGUCAGGAACAGGACACCAGCACUCCUGCCUUGUCCCCUGCAGCUUCCCCCAGGCCAUGCCGCCUGGCUGUACAUGGUUUUUCCAAGCCCUGCUGCUCUCAGCCCUGCAAGGAGAAGCUGCCCCCAGACAGCCACAGUGCUGGUGGGGCGCUUCUGGCAGGACUUGCCCAUGCCUGAGGGUGAUAGGAGCCAAGCCUGCUGAACGUCAGCUUCCAUUUCAACAACCCUUGUUUGUCUAAACAAGUGUUUGUGGCUGCAAGGGAGAUGUUCAACAUACGAGUUAUUGGUUUCUUCAGGGCUUUGGAGGCUACUUCCAUGGGCUAGGGGGGUGAAUCCCAGUGUCCCCCCCAGUUAGACCGGCUCUGUGCUUUUAUACCAGUCACACGGAUCGUGGGGAGUUUAAAGCUCAAUUGCACGGUGCCUGGCAAGAAGAGCUUUGUCCCCCCGCGGCAUUUCAGAGGUGAAUUUUCCAGUCUGGAUGCAGUAAGAUAUGGAUCUAGCCACUGCUCCUCUGCCAGCAGAGCUGUGUCAAGGGGAGGAGUGAUACUUUGGGUGCAAAAUCCAAAAUAAUUAGUAUUACUGUCACCCUGAAGUUGAAUCAGUAAAAGAGGAGGGCAAACAGCAAGUAGAAGCUGGGAGUAAAACCCUCCUGAACCAAGUCUGCCACUGAACAGACUGUAGCAUCAAAACAUAUCAGAGACAGACCGUAUUUUUCUGUAUCUUGAGGGAACAUGAAGAAAAAGACUUCUAUACUGGCGUGAAGACUUUCAAAGACUUAUAAUACUUAAACGGACCUUUUCAAAAUAACUAUAGUGUCACAAGAAAUCUGUGUAUGCUUGGCCUAACUCUUGAAUGAUUGAACAGUAGAUGAAAUUGCAGCUUGUUCUCCAGCAUGGUUUAUCAGAAGACUAGAGGAGCCAGGAUGCUACGUGUGUGUAUAUACAUAUAUAUAUAAAGUUUGUCCUUUCUACUCUGUUUUACCUGUGCAAGAUGACAGCUAGGUUAAAA